AUUGAACGCUGGCGGCAGGCCUAACACAUGCAAGUCGAACGGUAACAGGAAGAAGCUUGCUUCUUUGCUGACGAGUGGCGGACGGGUGAGUAAUGUCUGUGAAACUGCCUGAUGGAGGGGGAUAACUACUGGAAACGGUAGCUAAUACCGCAUAAUGUCGCAAGACCAAAGAGGGGGACCUUCGGGCCUCUUGCCAUCGGAUGUGCCCAGAUGGGAUUAGCUAGUAGGUGGGGUAACGGCUCACCUAGGCGACGAUCCCUAGCUGGUCUGAGAGGAUGACCAGCCACACUGGAACUGAGACACGGUCCAGACUCCUACGGGAGGCAGCAGUGGGGAAUAUUGCACAAUGGGCGCAAGCCUGAUGCAGCUAUGCCGCGUGUAUGAAGAAGGCCUUCGGGUUGUAAAGUACUUUCAGCGGGGAGGAAGGGAGUAAAGUUAAUACCUUUGCUCAUUGACGUUACCCGAAGAAGAAGCACCGGCUAACUCCGUG
rnacentral:rRNA from 1 species